AGGGACAUGAUCGGCAUAUUGGGCGUAAGGGCUCGCAGGCGGUUUCUUAAGUCUGAUGUGAAAGCCCCCGGUCUUAACCGGGGAGGGUCAUUGGAAACUGGGGAACUUGAGUGCAGAAGAGGAGAGUGGAAUUCCACGUGUAGCGGUGAAAUGCGUAGAGAUGUGGAGGAACACCAGUGGCGAAGGCGACUCUCUGGUCUGUAACUGACGCUGAGGAGCGAAAGCGUGGGGAGCGAACAGGAUUAGAUACCCUGGUAGUCCACGCCGUAAACGAUGAGUGCUAAGUGUUAGGGGGUUUCCGCCCCUUAGUGCUGCAGCUAACGCAUUAAGCACUCCGCCUGGGGAGUACGGUCGCAAGACUGAAACUCAAAGGAAUUGACGGGGGCCCGCACAAGCGGUGGAGCAUGUGGUUUAAUUCGAAGCAACGCGAAUAACCUUACCAGGUCUUGACAUCCUCUGACAAUCCUAGAGAUAGGACGUCCCCUUCGGGGGCAGAGUGACAGGUGGUGCAUGGUUGUCGUCAGCUCGUGUCGUGAGAUGUUGGGUUAAGUCCCGCAACGAGCGCAACCCUUGAUCUUAGUUGCCAGCAUUCAGUUGGGCACUCUAAGGUGACUGCCGGUGACAAACCGGAGGAAGGUGGGGAUGACGUCAAAUCAUCAUGCCCCUUAUGACCUGGGCUACACACGUGCUACAAUGGACAGAACAAAGGGCAGCGAAACCGCGAGGUUAAGCCAAUCCCACAAAUCUGUUCUCAGUUCGGAUCGCAGUCUGCAACUCGACUGCGUGAAGCUGGAAUCGCUAGUAAUCGCGGAUCAGCAUGCCGCGGUGAAUACGUUCCCGGGCCUUGUACACACCGCCCGUCACACACGAGAGUUUGUAACACCCGAAGUCGGUGAGGUUAACCUUUUAGAGCCAGUCCGCCGACGGUGGACAGAUGAUUGGGGGUGAAGUCUUAUCAAGGAUAGCCCGUAAAGA
rnacentral:rRNA from 1 species